rnacentral:rRNA from 1 species
UACGGAGGGUGCGAGCGUUGUCCGGAAUCAUUGGGCGUAAAGGGCGCGUAGGUGGCCCGGUCAGUCUUUGGUGAAAGCGCGGGGCUCAACCCUGCGUCGGCCAGGGAUACUGCCGCGGCUCGAGCACUGUAGAGGCAGGCGGAAUUCCGGGGGUAGCGGUGGAAUGCGUAGAGAUCCGGAAGAACACCGGUGGCGAAGGCGGCCUGCUGGGCAGUUUAGCUGACACUGAGGCGCGACAGCGUGGGGAGCAAACAGG